AGCUCCGAUAGCGUAUAUUAAAGUUGUUGCAGUUAAAAAGCUCGUAGUUGAACUUCUAAGGAUUGAGGUCGCCUCAUGGCUUGUAUCGAUAUCCUUAUCCGCUUUGAUUUAGCAAUACGCACUUUGUUGGGCGAUUGUGUAAUCAAGCAAUUUACUUUGAAAAAAUUAGAGUGUUUCAAGCAGGCGAUUUGCUGGAAUACAUUAGCAUGGAAUAUAGAACACGACCUUUUCGUCAUUUUAUUGGUAUAUGACCGGAGGUAAUGAUUAACAGGGACAGUUGGGGGCAUUAGUAUUGCAUUGUCAGAGGUGAAAUUCAUUGAUUAGUGCAAGACUAACUUAUGCGAAAGCAUUUGCCAAGGAUGUUU
rnacentral:rRNA from 1 species